AACGAACGCUGGCGGCAGGCCUAACACAUGCAAGUCGAACGCACCUUUCGGGGUCUUUGUCAGACGGCUGAGUAACGCGUGGGAAUCUACCCUUCUCUACGGGCUAGCUCCGGGACACUGGUAUUAAUACCGUAUCCGUCCUGAGGGCGAAUGAUUUAUCGGGGAAGGAUGAGCCGGCGUUGGAUUAGCUUGUUGGUUGGGUAAAGGCCUACUACGGCGACGAUCAAUAGCUGGUCUAAGAGGAUGAUCAGCCACAUUGGGAGGGAGACACGGCCCAAAAUCCUACGGGAGGGAGGAGUGGGGAAUAGAGGAAAAUGGGCGGAAGCAUGAACGAGCCAUGCUGGGUAAGUGAUGAAGGCCGGAGGGAUGUAAAGUGCUAGCAGUGGGGAAGAUAAUGACGGUACCCAAAGAAGAAGCCACGGCUAACUUCGUG
rnacentral:rRNA from 1 species